GUCAUACUGGGUGCAAUAUAGAUGGGUUUCCACACCUAUCCGCGGGCUAUCAUCGGCCUAAAUAGGUUGCACAAGAUCGAAGAAGCACAACUAGUCCAUGGGAAGAAAAGCAUUGGGACGAAAAUAAAAACUGAGUCGGGCAUUUUCCGAGCGGUUCUUUGUGGAAAAACCUUGAUAUUACUCAGAGUGAGGCCUCCUAGUAGUUAUCUGUGAAUUUUCGGGACGGUUCUCACAUGGUUAAAAAUCGGCCGAUUUUCGGUAUGGUAAAGCCUUGGCCAUUUUUGGACCGUUUUUUGCGCAACCAUUGUGCACCCAGAACGAGCCCCACCCGACCCCUAGGCCCUGGGCUUUUUUUAUGUGUCAUACUGGGUGCAAUAUAGAUGGGUUUCCACACCUAUCCGCGGGCUAUCAUCGGCCUAAAUAGGUUGCACAAGAUCGAAGAAGCAAAACUAGUCCAUGGGAAGAAAAGCAUUGGGACGAAAAUAAAAACUGAGUCUGGGCAUCUCCGAGCGGUUCUUGUGGGAGAAAACUUGAUAUACUCAGAGUGAGGCCUCCUAGUAGUUAUCUGUGAAUUUUCGGGACGUUUCUCACAUGGUUAAAAAUCGGCCGAUUUUCGGUAUGGUAAAGCCUUGGCCAUUUUUGGACCGUUUUUUGGCGCAACCUUGUGCACCCCGAACGAGCCCCACCCGACCCCUAGGCCUGGGCUUUUUUUAUGUGUCAUACUGGUGCAAUAUAGAUGGGUUUCCACACCUAUCCGCGGGCUAUCAUCGGCCUAAAUAGGUUGCACAAGAUCGAAGAAGCACAACUAGUCCAUGGGAAGAAAAGCAUUGGGACGAAAAUAAAAACUGAGUCCGGGCAUUUUCGAGCGGUUCGUGUGGGAAAAAACCUUGAUAUUACUCAGAGUGAGGCCUCCUAGUAGUUAUAUGUGAAUUUUCGGGACGGUUCUCACAUGGUUAAAAAUCGGCCGAUUUUCGGUAUGGUAAAGCCUUGGCCAUUUUUGGACCGUUUUUUGCGCAACCGUUGUGCACCCCGAACGAGCCCCACCCGACCCCUAGGCCCUGGGCUUUUUUAUGUGUCAUAAUGGGUGCAAUAUAGAUGGGUUUCCACACCUAUCCGCGGGCUAUCAUCGGCCUAAAUAGGUUGCACAAGAUCAAAGAAACAAAACUAGUCCAUGGGAAGAAAAGCAUUGGGACGAAAAUAAAAACUGAGUCUGGGCAUCUCCGAGCGGUUCUUGUGGGAGAAAACUUUAAUAUUACUCAGAGUGAGGCCUCCUAGUAGUUAUCUGUGAAUUUUCGGGACGUUUCUCACAUGGUUAAAAAUCGGCCGAUUUUCGGUAUGGUAAAGCCUUGGCCAUUUUUGACCGUUUUU
rnacentral:lncRNA from 1 species